UACGGAGGGGGCUAGCGUUGUUCGGAAUUACUGGGCGUAAAGCGCACGUAGGCGGCUUUGCAAGUUAGAGGUGAAAGCCCGGGGCUCAACUCCGGAAUUGCCUUUAAAACUGCAUCGCUAGAAUUGUGGAGAGGUAAGUGGAAUUCCCGGUGUAGCGGUGAAAUGCGUAGAGAUCGGGAGGAACAUCAGUGGCGAAGGCGGCCAUCUGGAUCAACACUGACGCUGAGGCACGAAGGCGUGGGGAGCGAACGGG
rnacentral:rRNA from 1 species